rnacentral:rRNA from 1 species
CUGAUCCAGCCAUGCCGCGUGAGUGAUGAAGGCCCUAGGGUUGUAAAGCUCUUUCACCGGUGAAGAUAAUGACGGUAGCCGGAGAAGAAGCCCCGGCUAACUCCGUGCCAGCAGCCGCGGUAAUACGGAGGGGGCUAGCGUUGUUCGGAAUUACUGGGCGUAAAGCGCACGUAGGCGGGUAUCCAAGUUGGGGGUGAAAUCCCGGGGCUCAACCCCGGAACUGCCUCCAAAACUGGGUGCCUAGAGUCCGAGAGAGGUGAGUGGAAUUCCCAGUGUAGAGGUGAAAUUCGUAGAUAUUGGGAAGAACACCAGUGGCGAAGGCGGCUCACUGGCUCGGUACUGACGCUGAGGUGCGACAGCGUGGGGAGCAAACAGGAUUAGAUACCCUGGUAGUCCACGCCGUAAACGAUGAGAGCUAGUUGUCGGGCAGCAUGCUGUUCGGUGACGCAGCUAACGCAUUAAGCUCUCCGCCUG